AUUGAACGCUGGCGGCAGGCUUAACACAUGCAAGUCGAGCGGGGUGAUGUAGCUUGCUACAUUACCUAGCGGCGGACGGGUGAGUAAUGCUUAGGAAUCUGCCUAUUAGUGGGGGACAACAUUCCGAAAGGAAUGCUAAUACCGCAUACGCCCUAUGGGGGAAAGCAGGGGAUCUUCGGACCUUGCGCUAAUAGAUGAGCCUAAGUCAGAUUAGCUAGUUGGUGGGGUAAAGGCCUACCAAGGCGACGAUCUGUAGCGGGUCUGAGAGGAUGGUCCGCCACACUGGGACUGAGACACGGCCCAGACUCCUACGGGAGGCAGCAGUGGGGAAUAUUGGACAAUGGGCGAAAGCCCGAUCCAGCCAUGCCGCGUGUGUGAAGAAGGCCUUCGGGAUGUAAAGCACUUUAAGCGAGGAGGAAUGGCUCUUGGUUAAUAACCUUGAGCAGUGACGUUACUCGCAGAAUAAGCACCGGCUAACUCUGUGCCAGCCGCCGCCGUAACAC
rnacentral:rRNA from 1 species